UGACCGCUGGCGGCGUGCCUACUACAUGCAAGUCGCGCGAACAGACGAGGAGCUUGCUCCUCUGACGUUAGCGGCGGACGGGUGAGUAACACGUGGAUAACCUACCUAUAAGACUGGGAUAACUUCGGGAAACCGGAGCUAAUACCGGAUAAUAUAUUGAACCGCAUGGUUCAAUAGUGAAAGACGGUUUUGCUGUCACUUAUAGAUGGAUCCGCGCCGCAUUAGCUAGUUGGUAAGGUAACGGCUUACCAAGGCAACGAUGCGUAGCCGACCUGAGAGGGUGAUCGGCCACACUGGAACUGAGACACGGUCCAGACUCCUACGGGAGGCAGCAGUAGGGAAUCUUCCGCAAUGGGCGAAAGCUUGACGGAGCAACGCCGCGUGAGUGAUGAAGGUCUUCGGAUCGUAAAACUCUGUUAUUAGGGAAGAACAAAUGUGUAAGUAACUAUGCACGUCUUGACGGUACCUAAUCAGAAAGCCACGGCUAACUACGUG
rnacentral:rRNA from 1 species